rnacentral:rRNA from 1 species
GACGAACGCUGGCGGCGUGCCUAAUACAUGCAAGUCGAGCGAAGUUUUUCUGGUGCUUGCACUAGAAAAACUUAGCGGCGAACGGGUGAGUAACACGUAAAGAACCUGCCUCAUAGACUGGGACAACUAUUGGAAACGAUAGCUAAUACCGGAUAACAGCAUUAACUGCAUGGUUGAUGUUUAAAAGUUGGUUUUGCUAACACUAUGAGAUGGCUUUGCGGCGCAUUAGCUAGUUGGUGGGGUAAAGGCCUACCAAGGCGACGAUGCAUAGCCGACCUGAGAGGGUGAUCGGCCACACUGGGACUGAGACACGGCCCAGACUCCUACGGGAGGCAGCAGUAGGGAAUCUUCCGCAAUGGGCGAAAGCCUGACGGAGCAACGCCGCGUGAGUGAAGAAGGAUUUCGGUUCGUAAAGCUCUGUUGUUAGGGAAGAAUGAUUGUGUAGUAACUAUACACAGUAGAGACGGUACCCAACCA